ACCGGAAUCAAGGAAUCCAAGUCACUUUUAUAAUAGAUCCAUUGUUUUUGUUUGCAUUUUCCAUACCAACAAAAAAAAAAAAAAAAAAAA
rnacentral:ribozyme from 1 species